rnacentral:rRNA from 1 species
UCCGUAGGUGAACCUGCGGAGGGAUCAUUACACAAAUAUGAAGGCGGGCUGGAACCUCUCGGGGUUACAGCCUUGCUGAAUUAUUCACCCUUGUCUUUUGCGUACUUCUUGUUUCCUUGGUGGGUUCGCCCACCACUAGGACAAACAUAAACCUUUUGUAAUUGCAAUCAGCGUAGUAACAAGUUAAUAAUUACAACUUUCAACAACGGAUCUCUUGGUUCUGGCAUCGAUGAAGAACGCAGCGAAAUGCGAUAAGUAGUGUGAAUUGCAGAAUUCAGUGAAUCAUCGAAUCUUUGAACGCACAUUGCGCCCUUUGGUAUUCCAAAGGGCAUGCCUGUUCGAGCGUCAUUUGUACCCUCAAGCUUUGCUUGGUGUUGGGCGUCUUGUCUCUAGCUUUGCUGGAGACUCGCCUUAAAGUAAUUGGCAGCCGGCCUACUGGUUUCGGAGCGCAGCACAAGUCGCACUCUCUAUCAGCAAAGGUCUAGCAUCCAUUAAGCCUUUUUUUCAACUUUUGACCUCGGAUCAGGUAGGGAUACCCGCUGAACUUAAGCAUAUCAAUAAGCGGAGGA